AUAGAUUUCACCCUGGAAAUGGAGGCAGCAAACCAGUGCACAGCUAGGCAUGCUUACAUCCUACUGAUUUCACUGGGACCUAAGUGCUUCUUACAACAAGUCAUCCCUGGAUUGCAUCCACCAGCCACAGCAGAGUUUUGUUGUUGUUGUUAUGUGCCUCCAAGUCGACUACAACUUAUGGCGACCCUAUGAAUCAGGGACCUCCAAGAGCAUCUGUCAUGAACCAUUCACAGGAACCAGAGAGUCCACCAGCACUUUGGCUAUGUUAAAAACAAGCCCUAUGGAAGAAAAAGAAAUCAUAUUGAUGACAAUCAUGUCUCACUGCCCAACUUGAGCCUCAAGAAAGACGGGCCAUGGAAUGCGCAAAGCUCUCCUCCAACACCACAUUUCAAAUGAGUUGAUUUUUCUCCUAUCUGCUUUUUUCACUGUCCAACUUUCACAUCCAUACAUAGAAAUUGGGAAUACUAUGGUCUGAAUUAUCCUGACUUUAGUGUUUAGUGAUACAUCUUUACAUUUGAAGACCUUUUCUAGUUCUCUCAUAGCUGCCCUCCCCAGUCCGAGCCAGUCCUCUGUAUACUACAGCUUCCUAUAUUAGUAGUGUGCAGUAGCUUGUUAGGCAAGAGUCUGUCUCUAGAUCAGGGUCACUGCUUGCAUGCAGCUGACAUGAAAAGAGAAACAAGCCUCAAGUCAGUAUUGAAUUGGAAAGUUCAUUCUUAUGGAAAGACACCAAGUUUAUUCUUGUGGAAGGAUCCCAAGAGAAUUAUCUUUGAAGAGCAUCACAGGCUCUAU